rnacentral:rRNA from 1 species
UACAGAGGGGGCAAGCGUUAUUCGGAAUUAUUGGGCGUAAAGGGCGCGUAGGCGGCCUGGCAAGUGGAAGGUGAAAUCCCUCGGCUUAACCGAGGAACUGCCUCCCAAACUGCUUGGCUUGAGACCGGGAGAGGUGAGUGGAAUUCCCAGUGUAGCGGUGAAAUGCGUAGAUAUCAGGAGGAACACCGAUGGCGAAGGCGGCUCACUGGCCCGGUACUGACGCUGAGGUGCGAAAGCGUGGGGAGCAAACAGG